CUCAUUGUAGUACAGUGGUGAGUAAUCCUGCCUGUCACGUAGGUGACUCGGGUUCGAUCCCUAACAACGAUG
rnacentral:tRNA from 1 species